UACGAAGGGGGCUAGCGUUGCUCGGAAUCACUGGGCUUAAAGGGCGCGUAGGCGGGUGCUCAAGUCCGGGGUGAAAUCCUCCAGCUCAACUGGAGAACUGCCUCGGAUACUGGGUGCCUCGAGGGUGGUAGGGGUAUGCGGAACUAUCGGUGGAGCGGUGAAAUGCGUUGAUAUCGAUAGGAACUCCGGUGGCGAAGGCGGCAUACUGGACCACAUCUGACGCUGAGGCGCGAAAGCCAGGGGAGCAAACGGG
rnacentral:rRNA from 1 species